rnacentral:lncRNA from 1 species
UUAAUAAUUGAUUCAGUAUUUAUGGUUCAGUGGUUUGCUUAAAUUGGACAAAAAUGAUUUUGUGGUUGUAAUAAAGGAUUUAUGGCUUUCUUGCAAAAAUGAAAAUGGUUUUCUACCCCUCGUGGUAGCGAAUUUUAAAAGGAAAAAGGUUUUCGUGUGGAAAACGGUUUUAAAAAGGAUUUUCUGGUUUUCCUGAUUAUUAGUAUUUCAAAACGAGUUUCCGGGUAGGAAACAUUUUAAACUGGUAGAUGUGAAUUUAUGAAUAUUGGUGAUGAAAUAAAUGUGGUUGUGAAUGGUAUAUGGAUAUAUAUAUAUAUGUUCAUAUAUGAUGGUUGUAUCUUGAAUUGUAUAUCUUGUACUUGUGCGACGCCAUACAAAUACAGGGGACUCUGUCCGGGUGAACAGUGGACUCCCUAUACUUAUGGCGGAUCUGGCAUACCUUCGGGGUCAGAAUUUUCAAAAAAAAAAAAAUUGGGCACUUCUGCAAUGACUUUUAAACCAAAAAGGGACCCCAGGGCGUGACAUGAGCCCGGUGAUCGUUGGUCAGUGCCGAUCACAGUACUCACCUCAUUUUAGAUCAGCUGCUUUCGAAGUUGCGUUUUCGGCGCAGUUUUACCCGAGUGCGCUGUUCGCAGAAUUUUCGGGUCACUCCCGCGCCUUCCACAGUGAGUCGUUGUGCUCCGAAUCGUGAGCACGUCCUCCGGCGUGUCGAGUCCUAUCAGUACAUGUCACGGCAGACCUCGAAAGCCUUCAAGUUUCGUUAACGAGCCACAAUGUCGCCUUAUUUAUCUAAAAUAGUGGGAUUUUAUGUAAAUAGAGGGACUUUUAUGCAAUUUUACAUCUUGUGGUUUCUAUGGGCAGUACGUACGUGUGGUAAGUGACCUCUGGAUUGAUCGUCCAAGGUCCGAUAGCCUUCGCGGAAAUCGAACGUCGAUUUCGAUGCGUUUUUCGGUGAAAUUCGCCGGUGGAAUGUGGUUUCGAUUCGGAUUUCUUCCGACGUUGUUUGUUUGCCCUGAGAGUUGUCGCUGAGCUUUAUUGGCUGGUCACCAUCAUCAUAUCAUGGGUUCGGAGAUGACGGGUGAGCGACGGUGGGUUCCGGUGUCGAAAUUGACACUUCCGGGAAUCCGGAUCCGAACAAUUAUCAGGAUUAUUUAGUUGUGAACUCUUGUGUUUGCUGCCAAGACAUCAAAAUCGAUGUGUUUUGUGGUACUGGGUGACUCGUGGCACGAGUCGAUGAGUUUCAGAAUACUUAGUGGGUCCCGACGGAGUCCCGGUGUGAUUUUUGGGACUUCCGACGAGUUACGGUGAUCUGAUUUAGGAAACCAAUCACAGGGAUUUGUGUGCGGUUUGUGAGUCGUGUAUUCUAGUUGUGUGGGUUGGAUACUGACUCGGUGGACCUUCAUAGGUCCGGUUGACUAUAGUGUACUUUGGAGAUAGACGCGACAUUAGUGCAGGUGGGUGCUUCGAGCUCGUACUCGGUGAGAUUGUUUUACCUUCUUCUAUUCUUCUAUUUCAGCAUUGUAGUCUCUACAUGUCGGUUGCUUUGUUAUUGUUUGUUUAUCUAUACCUUAUUGAUUGCAUGAUGAUUAUUGUUGAUAGACAUGUAGAGCAAGCUUGUAUAUAUAUUGUAUCUCUGUGGGCCUUUGGUCCAGGCAACACUUCGAUUCCUUUGUCGUGUGUUUCGAUCUGGUUGAUCGUGGUUCGGCGUUGUACGCCCUUGUAUCUCACUUCGGCCAAGGCACCAGUUUCAGUCGGCUUUCGUAUUGAGCAUAUCAGCAUAACUUAGUCACAGCACUUGGGUGUAUUCAUGACACCAGGUCGGUUUGGCUACCGACCGGAUGUGUACUUAUCCGGAUGGGUCGUCCAGUGGACGGAUGAAUCAGGUCGGUGCAAGUAGUGUGACAGGCAACGCUUGAGGUCUGCGAACCUAUAUAGUAGGCACCAGAUUGGGUACAGUUUUGGUUUGAUUACCUUGAGGCAUACUCAGCAUUGUAUUCUUUACAGUAGCAAUUUUUAUUACUUGCUUCUUAUCAUAUCUAUUAUAGCUACUGUAGUUCACUUUUUUAUCACAGCAUCAGCACUUGUUUACUUUACCUCCUUUGGUUUCCGAUGCUUACGACUUGCCUUCGUGACUCUGUCGUACCCACUGAAAAACCUUGAUUGUGGUUUCUCACCCCCCAUUUCCCUAGGUGGUUCGAGUAAGGAGUUGGCUUUUGGGCUCGACGGGAGGACGCACUAGCUAGACGGCAGUAGCGACCGUCACCCUGAUUAUCUUUUAUUUCCACAUUUAGUAGUUUAAUAAUUAAAUGGUUUAGUUAGAUGAUCACUAUUACUGUUGAGUAUUUGUGAAACUGUUUGACUUGAUGUUUUCAUAUGAUGCUAGCAAUUGGAUUUGUGGUUUUGAUUUUAUGGAUAAUUGGUUCUCGGACUUUUGUGCUUACGCAUUGUGGUUUUCUGCCCCUCGAGAUAGUCGAUUUUCAAAAGUGAAGUUUCCGAGUGGGAAACAGUUUUAAAAAGGUUUUCGAUUGGUUUUUAUGAAUGAUUAAAUAGAGUUUAAAAUCAAAGCUUCCGAGUGGGGAGCACUUUUAAAUAGGAUGCUUGUUGUACUGUACAUUGCAUCAUCCAGCGCCUAGGAGUGUUUAGAGGCAUGCAUCAUCUCUAAGGAUCGCUAGCUGUAUGUAAAUACAUGGCAUGAGUUAAUUGUUGAUUGGUGAAUGUAGGUUGUAGUUGAAAUCCUGAUGUAUUGUUGGUACGCCGUGCAAAUACAAAGGAGACUCUAUCCGAGUGGAUAGAGGAACUUUGUAUUUGUAGCGGGUCUGUACGUCACGUGGACCAUGUUGAAUAAAAAAAAAAUUGGCCGUUUUUUUCGCAACUCUGAUUUUAAAAAUUGUAU